rnacentral:rRNA from 1 species
UCUAGCGAGUGCAUAUAUGGCCCGUACCCAUAACCGACACAGGUGGUCAGGUAGAGAAUACUAAGGCGAUCGGGUGAACUGUGGUUAAGGAACUCGGCAAAUUGCCCCCGUAACUUCGGGAGAAGGGGGACCAUUGCUGGUGACCGACGUGGUUGAGCUGGUGGUGGUCGCAGAGAAUAGAGGGAAGCGACUGUUUAUUAAAAACACAGGUCCGUGCGAAAACGUGGAAGUUGAUGUAUACGGACUGACGCCUGC